rnacentral:rRNA from 1 species
GAUGAACGCUGGCGGCGUGCCUAAUACAUGCAAGUCGAGCGAACGGACGAGAAGCUUGCUUCUCUGAUGCUAGCGGCGGACGGGUGAGUAACACGUGGAUAACCUACCUAUAAGACUGGGAUAACUUCGGGAAACCGGAGCUAAUACCGGAUGAUAUUUUGAACCGCAUGGUUCAAAAGUGAAAGACGGUCUUGCUGUCACUUAUAGAUGGAUCCGCGCUGCAUUAGCUAGUUGGUAAGGUAACGGCCUACCAAGGCAACGAUGCAUAGCCGACCUGAGAGGGUGAUCGGCCACACUGGAACUGAGACACGGUCCAGACUCCUACGGGAGGCAGCAGUAGGGAAUCUUCCGCAAUGGGCGAAAGCCUGACGGAGCAACGCCGCGUGAGUGAUGAAGGUCUUCGGAUCGUAAAACUCUGUUAUUAGGGAAGAACAUAUGUGUAAGUAACUGUGCACAUCUUGACGGUACCUAAUCAGAAAGCCACGGCUAACUACGUG